rnacentral:rRNA from 2 species
GUCGAUAGCUAUAUGCAGCUCGAGCGAUGGAUUAGAGCUUGCUCCUAUGACGUUAGCGGCGGACGGGUGAGUAACACGUGGGUAACCUGCCCGUAAGACUGGGAUAACUCCGGGAAACCGGGGCUAAUACCGGAUAACAUUUUGCACCGCAUGGUGCAAAAUUCAAAGGCGGCUUCGGCUGUCACUUAUGGAUGGACCCGCGUCGCAUUAGCUAGUUGGUGAGGUAACGGCUCACCAAGGCAACGAUGCGUAGCCGACCUGAGAGGGUGAUCGGCCACACUGGGACUGAGACACGGCCCAGACUCCUACGGGAGGCAGCAGUAGGGAAUCUUCCGCAAUGGACGAAAGUCUGACGGAGCAACGCCGCGUGAGUGAUGAAGGCUUUCGGGUCGUAAAACUCUGUUGUUAGGGAAGAACAAGUGCUAGUUGAAUUGGCUGGCACCUUGACGGUACCUAACCAAAAAGCCACGGCUAACUACGUGCCAGCAGCCGCGGUAAUACGUAGGUGGCAAGCGUUAUCCGGAAUUAUUGGGCGUAAAGCGCGCGCAGGUGGUUUCUUAAUUCUGAUGUGAAAGCCCACGGUUCACCCGUGAAGGGUCAUUGAAAACUGGGAGACUUGAGUGCAGAGAAGGAAAGUGAAAUUCCAUGUGUAGCGUUGAAAUGCGUAAAGAUAUGGAGGAACACCAGUGGCGAAGGCGACUUUCUGGUCUGUACCUGACACUGAGGCGCGAAAGCGUGGGGAAGCAAACAGGGAUAAGAUACCCUGGUAGUCCACGCCGUAAACGAUGAUUGCUAGUUGUUAGAGGGUUUCGCCCUUUAGUGCUGAAGUUAACGCAUUAAGCACUCCGCCUGGGGAGUACGGCCGCAGAGCUGAAACUCAAAGGAAUUGACGGGGGCCGCACAAGCGGUGGAAGCAUGGUGGUUUAAUUCGAGGCAACGCGAAGACUUACAGGGUCUUGGACAUCUUCUGACCAUCUAGAGAUAGGCUUCCCUUCGGAGAGUGACAGUGUGCAUGAUGUCGUCAGCUCGUCGUGAGAUGUGGGUAGUCCGCACGAGGGCAACUUGAUCUAGUGCAUCAUUAGUUGGCCUCUAAGUGAACUUGCUGGACACGAGAGUGGAUAGCCUAUCUAUGCUUAGACUGGCCUACACGGUCCUCACAAUGAAC